rnacentral:rRNA from 1 species
GGAGAGGUUAGCCGUAAGGCGAAGCUUUGAACUUAAGCCCCAGUAAACGGCGGCCGUAACUAUAACGGUCCUAAGGUAGCGAAAUUCCUUGUCGGGUAAGUUCCGACCCGCACGAAAGGCGUAAUGAUUUGGGCACUGUCUCAACAAUGCACCCGGUGAAAUUGAAAUACCAGUGAAGAUGCUGGUUACCUGCGCCAGGACGGAAAGACCCCAUGGAGCUUUACUCCAGCUUGAUACUGGGAUUCGAUAUUGCAUGUACAGGAUAGGUGGGAGACUGAGAACUGAUGACGCCAGUUGUCAGGGAGUCACUGUUGGGAUACCACCCUUGUAGUAUUGGAUUUCUAACCAGCAGCCGUGAACCGGCUGGGGGACAAUGUCAGGUGGGGAGUUUGACUGGGGCGGUCGCCUCCGAAAGGGUAUCGGAGGCGCUCAAAGGUUCCCUCAGAAUGGUUGGAAACCAUUCGAAGAGUGCAAAGGCAGAAGGGAGCUUGACUGCGACACCGACGGGUGGAGCAGGUACGAAAGUAGGACUUAGUGAUCCGGUGGUAUAAAGUGGGAUUGCCAUCGCUCAACGGAUAAAAGCUACCCUGGGGAUAACAGGCUUAUCACUCCCAAGAGUUCACAUCGACGGAGUGGUUUGGCACCUCGAUGUCGGCUCAUCGCAUCCUGGGGCUGAAGUAGGUCCCAAGGGUUGGGCUGUUCGCCCAUUAAAGCGGUACGCGAGCUGGGUUCAGAACGUCGUGAGACAGUUCGGUCCCUAUCCGGCGUGGGCGUAGGAUAUUUGAGAGGAGCUGCCCUUAGUACGAGAGGACCGGGGUGGACUGGCCGCUGGUGGAUCUGUUGUAUUACCAAAUGCAUAGCAGAGUAGCCAAGCCGGGACGGGAUAAACGCUGAAGGCAUCUAAGCGUGAAGCCCCCCUCAAGAUGAGAUAUCCCAUAACGUCAAGUUAGUAAGACCCCUUGAAGACGACGAGGUAGAUAGGGCAGAGGUGGAAGUGCGGUAACGCAUGGAGCUGACUGUUACUAAUAGGUCGAGGGCAUAACCAAG